rnacentral:snRNA from 1 species
UGAAUCUUGAUGAUGCCAC